CUCUACACGCGAAGAGACAUCUCCCCCGUUACGACAGCACAGCACAGUCUGCCUCUAAGACAACCGCUGAGUCGCUGCAACAGAGACAGGGAUAGACAGAGUGAGAGGAAGAAAGAGGGAGGGACAGAUAGAGAGGGGAGAAGGACGACCACGGAGCAAAACACAUCACCGUCUCUCUCUGACAUCCCCCCUUGCUUGCGUGUAUCUGUGUGUGAUCCUGAGCUGAGGAGAGGACAGAAAAUGAAGCCGGGGAAAUUCUCCCUCUCUCUUUUAUUUUCCCUCUUUUCUCCAUCCAUCAUCCAAGGAUUGAAUACCGGUGUCAUCUGCCACAGAGGGAUCAAAUAAAGGGAUGCUUUGAAUGUUGUCUCUGUAUAUGACAAGUCACACAGCAAAGCAGAAAGAGGCAAAACAAGCAGGGACAAAACCAGGAUUUUGAUAAUGAACGGGAGUCCUUCCACAGCAUGUGUUAGGAAUAGCAGUCCAUCACUGAAGCCCACGGAGCCUACCCUCACGACGUGACAGUGCACAUGGUCUGGAUGCCACCAGCCGUCCUGCUAUGCUACACAGCUAAAGUUCCACUUCAAUUCGUCACCAGCCACAGCGCCCAUCCCCACCGCUCUCCAAGUGUGUCCAAUUAAGGGAUGUGUGAAGACUAAGAGGCCAGGGUUACAGACCACAUUAGAAAAAAACUGGCGAGAUCCUUGCUAGCUGCAGAUGGGCAGAACACUGUUGAUUCCCUGGCCAGUUGUCUUCCAUCCAGGUCUUAGGGUGGUGUUUCCUGGCUGUAUGAGGAGGAGGCAUGGCUUGCUGAGAUGUCGUGGACGAUCACACCACUCUGCUCGACGUGCUGCUGCUGUGCGGGCCUGGCUCCUCCAGCUGCACCACUGCAUCACUGAUGGUGCCAUGAUCCAGCUCUAACUGUGGGUAAUGACGAGACAUAAAACCAAUCCUGGAGAUGCCGAAGAGAAGAGACAUUCUUGCCAUCGUGUUGAUAGUGUUACCGUGGACUCUGCUCAUCACCGUUUGGCACCAAAGUGCAAUCGCUCCGCUGCUCGCCAUCCGCAAGGAUGACGGAGCCGACGGAGGACGGAGGGAUGUGGGCCAGGCCAGCGACUCUAAGGAGUACUGCUCAUCUGAUAAGGACAUAGUUGAGGUGGUGAGGACGGAGUACGUGUACACACGGCCGCCACCAUGGUCCGACGUGCUGCCCACCAUCCACAUCAUCACCCCAACCUACAGCCGUCCGGUCCAGAAGGCAGAGCUGACGCGGCUGGCCAACACCUUCCUCCACGUGGCCAACCUGCACUGGAUCCUGGUGGAGGACUCUCAGAGAAGGACCCCGCUGGUCACACGCAUGCUCAGGGAAACGGGCCUCAACUACACCCACCUGAACGUGGAGACUCCCAGGAACUAUAAGCUGCGUGGGGACACGCGGGACCCCAGGAUACCCCGGGGCACCAUGCAGAGGAACCUGGCGCUGCGCUGGCUCAGAGAGACCUUCAAUUCCAACAGCAGCCAGGCGGGCAUUGUCUACUUCGCUGAUGAUGACAACACCUAUAGCCUGGAGCUAUUUGAGGAGAUGAGGUCAACAAGGAAGGUAUCUGUAUGGCCCGUGGCCUUCGUUGGUGGUUUGCGCUACGAGUCGCCCAAGGUCAACGCAGUGGGCAAGGUGUACGGCUGGAAGACUGUAUUCGACCCUCACCGGCCCUUUGCCAUCGACAUGGCAGGCUUCGCCAUCAACCUGCGGCUCAUCCUCUUCAAGCCCCAGGCCUACUUCAAGCUGCGGGGAGUGAAGGGAGGCUACCAGGAGAGCAGCCUGCUCCGAGAGCUGGUCACACUCAAUGACCUGGAGCCCAAAGCUGCUAAUUGCACUAAGAUUCUCGUUUGGCACACUAGGACAGAAAAACCUGUCCUUGUAAAUGAGGGGAAAAAAGGAUUUACAGACCCCAACGUCGAGAUUUGACGUUGUCUCCUCGGGCAAUGGUAAAGAGAGAAAUUAUUCAAAUGAGGUCACAUCUCAGACUUAUUUUACUUUUUAUUUUUUUUUAGGACCUCUGGCGAACAGGAAAAUGGUGGUUGUCUAAUAUGGACCCUGAGAAGAAAAAGAGGCCAUCUCCCAGUGCAAACAGUGUUCAUGUCUUAAUCAUCUCAGAAAAGACUGCCUCGGGGGCCAAAUCCUAAUCCCCUUGACUGAAACGAAACACUUUUAAUAUUGAGAUUAAAACAGUACAAAUGUAUCAUAUUAAAGCACAGCUUAGUUCAAGAUGGCAAUAUUUAUCAGGUUAAUUGUUGCUAGCAGCACCAACAUCAAGCAGACGGUGAGAACUGAGUCAUUAAGGAUCAACGGGAGAUGCUCUCGGAACCUGCAUGGUACCAUACUGCGUCUGUAGUGUCCUAACACGAGACAGCACAACACAAACAUUGCAGGGAGAGAGGGAGUUAGGCAGCCAAUGAGAUGGAACAUUGCUGGCCUGAACAGGCUAAUGAGAUAUCCAUUGUCUUUCCCUCUAUAGACGUGGAUCUACAGGGCAGGGGAUGAGAUCUUGAGAUCUUAGUAGGGUCUGUAAGAGACUGGAGGAUCUGAUUGAACACUGAGCCCCUGGACACCUUUAAUAGACAUGUACUGAAAUGUCCUCCACAUCUUCAGACCGAACAAUAAUGGAGAAUCCGAACAAGUCAUCUCUCAGAAAAUCAAUUCUACUUUCAGCAAACACUGAAAUUUCAAAAGGGAAGGAAUGUCCUUUUUGUAUAACUAAAACUGUCUGCUUUUAUUUAAGUUGUUUGUUUUUGGUGUUUAAAUACAUUUUCUUGCUAGUUCAAUACUA